CCGUGGCCGGGAGCGAGAUUGUUUCCUUGCUUUGGAAAAAGAGCCGGAAAGGAAAAUAAAGAGUUUAAGGGUAGGUGUGCGGGAAAAAGGGGAAAAUCUCGAUCUAUGUCUAGAAUCAAUGCAGGCCCCUCCAUCUCUCUGAAUGUAAUUUACGACCACGCUGAAUAAAAGCCGCGUUAAACAACUUCGCAGCGCGUGCGAAUAUCGGCAGCAGCUCGUUUUGAGCAGGUAUCACCUAUCUGUCUCACAUCUUCAUAUGCAUCACCUCCACUUCAACUUUGAACCCUAAAAAAAGGUAUUGGCUGAGCUUCUGCACCACACGCCAAAAGAGACGUGUCUCCUACAGCAAGACAGGAGGCUUGGUGAGGAGACUCGGUGGAGCCCAGAACUCAGGGGUCAAGUCCAGGUUUUCCCAGCCCCCAGCAAGCCGCCCGCUCUCCUCCGCUCUGGUGAGAUGGACAGAAUCAGGGAGAGGCGCGAAGGGAUGGGGAGGAGAGGACAUGAGCCCGGGGUGAUAGAUUGACGCUGAGGACGAGGAACAGUGGGAACGGAUAUUAUGGACGAAAAACAGUUUACUUUUUCAUCUAGCAGCCAAUGUGUUUGGCUUCUACACGGGUUAGUUGAAUGAUUAUGUUUUUGCAAGUCUUGAUUUACCAUGUCACCGCUUAAGUAAAAGUCUGUGAAUUUGAAGUGUAUCUUCACGUUUCCACUCGCCAAUCAUUUGGAUUUUUAUGUGUUUAGUAAAUUAAUUGAUGUAAGUUGAGACCCUAUGCCACCCUGUGACCUUAUAGUAUGACCCUAUUGUCCCCCAUGCCACUCUAUCUGUCUCUCUCCCUCUCUUUCUUUCUGUCUCUCACUCUGGGUGAAGUGUGGAGUGAUGGAACCAGGGCGGCUCUUUCUCUCACCCUCACGUCUCCAGAGCACCCUGCGGUUCAGCGACACCGCUGAGCUGUGUGUUAUUCUUUAUGUCGACCUCCUGCGAGGAGCGGCAGUCAGCACAGCUAGUUACAUACACAGCACCUUCGGCCUGUCAAUCAAUUCAUGUCAGAUAAUCACAAGCCCUUUGGUUUCAAACGCAUGCUCACACACACUUCUAUAUAUUCCUAGAAUGAAUAGGAAUGUAACUUUAUUUAAAAAAAAAUAAGCUCACCUUUCAAGCAUUACAUUUCACAAAACAAGUUUAGUUUGGUUUUAAAUGUUGCCUUAAAAACAGCUGAUUUCAUUGUAUAUUCACCCCGGGUAUGCACUUAUAUGAAUAAACUACAGCUAUUGCAUUCCAGUCUUUAUUUUUAGCAGCAAUAAUACAUGUGUAGAUAACAGUUAUUAGGGCAAUCAAUGACUAAGGAGACACACUUAAAAAUAAGGGUGCUUCACACACUGUAAACAUUUUUA